CCUACGGGAGGCUGCAGUGGGGAAUCUUCCGCAAUGGACGAAAGUCUGACGGAGCAACGCCGCGUGAACGAAGAAGGUCUUCGGAUUGUAAAGUUCUGUGAUUCGGGACGAAAGGGUUUGUGGUGAAUAAUCAUAGACAUUGACGGUACCGAAAAAGCAAGCCACGGCUAACUACGUGCCAGCAGCCGCGGUAAUACGUAGGUGGCAAGCGUUGUCCGGAAUUAUUGGGCGUAAAGCGCGCGCAGGCGGUUUCUUAAGUCCAUCUUAAAAGCGUGGGGCUCAACCCCAUGAGGGGAUGGAAACUGGGAAGCUGGAGUAUCGGAGAGGAAAGUGGAAUUCCUAGUGUAGCGGUGAAAUGCGUAGAGAUUAGGAAGAACACCGGUGGCGAAGGCGACUUUCUAGACGAAAACUGACGCUGAGGCGCGAAAGCGUGGGGAGCAAACAGGAUUAGAUACCCCAGUAGUC
rnacentral:rRNA from 1 species